GUCGAGUUGUUUGGGAAUGCUGCUCAAAAUGGGAGGUAAACCCCUUCUAAAGCUAAAUAUUGGCCAGAGACCGAUAGCGCACAAGUAGAGUGAUCGAAAGAUGAAAAGCACUUUGAAAAGAGAGUUAAACAGCACGUGAAAUUGUUGAAAGGGAAGCGCUUGCGACCAGACUUGUGCUCGUCGAAUCAGCCGUCGCUCGUCGGCGGCGCAUUUCGGCGGGCUCAGGCCAGCAUCAGUUCGCUGCAGGGGGAGAAAGGCGGUAGGAAUGUGGCUCCUCGGAGUGUUAUAGCCUACCGUAUAAUACCCCUCGGCGGACUGAGGACCGCGCAUCUGCAAGGAUGCUGGCGUAAUGGUCGUCAGCGACCCGUCUUGAAACAC
rnacentral:rRNA from 1 species